GGCCAUAAGGAGGUGGUGGCGCUAGGUGAUGGAAGCGAGUGCAGGGGCGGUAGAUGGAGGGAUCAGGGGAGGAGGAUGACUCCACUGGAGCUGACUGGUGAGUAUCAAAGAGAACACAGAACCCACAGACGGCCGGGUGUGGAGGAUUGAUUACGGGCUGAAUCUGUGGCUGCGUUUGAAUGCCUGUGAGACACCGGAAUGUUUGUCGUGUGCAGUCGUGGCAACCUCUAUUGUGAUGAUGACUGGGGCUGUGUGCUGUACUCUGUGACGCAUUAAUAGGUAACCUUACAGCAAAGGGGUGAAUUAGAAGUGAUGCCACAGAGAAUAGGCUAGAAUGCCCGUCAUCAAAGUUAAUGGGUGUUGCAUUGUUAUCGCUCCUCUGAAUGGUCCCUAGCUAAUGUUUUGGAAGCAGCGCUGCGACACCUUUUGUUGUGUGGAUAUUUGUCUGAUGAUUUGUUGUUGUUUUUGUCGUACACGCACACGUCUGUCACAUGGUGAACUGGUGACGAACCCCUCAGGGCCACGAUGUCAGCAGUUUCCUCCCGACAGUCUACCAUUACUGAGCCCAUUGAUGACACCCUCUCAACAGAGGAUGACUGUGGCCUUGUGUCCCAGAAUGAUCUGGAAGAUGCCGCAAACUGCAUGACUGAUCAGAAUGAAGACAACACUGCAAACCGGAGUCUACCACAACACCCUACGAUAUUCACCUUUUCUAAGACUGCAAUUGAGGGGUGAUGUCUGCUCGCCGCCCCCUGGUGGCAGAAGUCCAAGCUACCAGACGGACCCCAGGCCCCACUUUGGAAUUCCAAACUCGUCUCGCUCCACGCCCUUCCCUCUGUGGGGCAGCAGAGGGCCUCGUGAGUUCAGGAAGGAGGAGAGGAGGAGGAGGAAGAGGAGGAGGAGGUAUGCAUGUGUCCUCACUGCAACCUGGCCCUUCCUCCAGACACACUCCGCUGGCAC
ensembl:lncRNA